AGACGUCCUGUGUGAGUGCUGUAUUUAGAGUCCCAGUGCUCUCCGUGUAGACGUCCUGUGUGAGUGCUGCAUUUAGAGUCCCAGUGCUCUCUGUGUAGACGUCCUGUGUGAGUGCUGUAUUUAGAGUCUCAGUGCUCUCCGUGUAGACGUCCUGUGUGAGUGCUGUAUUUAGAGUCCCAGGGCAUUGUGAAUACUCAGCCUGUGGCUGUUAUCAAUUUGUGAUUUACUGUUGGAGUGUCUGUGAUUCACCACUAUGGUCUGUGACCCACAGUCACAGCGAAUGUCUGUGAUUCAUUGUCACCGUAGUUGUCUGUGCUCUCCAAUCACCAAUCACCCUCUGCUCUUACUCUUUGACGGUUUCUACACAGCAACAGAUAUGAAUGCAGUGCUUUUUACCAUUAGACCUCCAACACUGGAAAGCCAGAUUAGCACAUCAAGUUGUUUCUCAGAGGAGUCACAUCAAGCAGAAAGCACAAUUAUUUUUUUGGAUUUUCUCGAUUAUGUUAAAUUGCCAGGUGGUAGUUCAAUAUAAUCGGUAAUGAACUGGUCUUGCAAACUAAAGGUUGCGGGUUUGAUUCAUGGGCGGGGCACAGCACUGUACCCUUGAGCAGUGUACUUACUCAACUGCUUCAGUAUAUAUCCAGAUAUAUAAAUAGGUACAAUGUAAAAAAGCCAAAGUUGAGUAACUUGCUCUGGAUAAGGAUGUCUGCUAAAUGCCCUAGAACAAAAUAUAUAUAAAAUGAUUUGACAGGCCAACUUCAUUCCAAAAAUCUAAAUCUAAUGAUUUUUCCACCUUUCCAUUAUUUGUACUACAAAAAAACCAGUACAAACUAUUUUUUAGCUAUGGCAAUUAGUUGUGUUUCUUCUUCUGUUAUAAAUAUAAUGCAUAGCCUAUUACUGCCAUUCAGACAGACAGCUCAGUAAAGUCUUACCAACAUUGUACUGCACCCAGACUAAUCCAGUGGAGAUGUGUUGUUUAUUUCACUAUGGCUUACAAUUAUGUAGGCCUAUGUCUAUGACUUUGUUUCCAUAUUAUUUGACACAGUCAAUGAACUUCCUUUAUUCUGGUUUUGUAUGAAGUUGUUUAUCCAGAAUCUGCAAUACCUGAAAUUGAUUAAAUAGAAUUGGAGGGGAAGAGUACUCAGAUUGUUAUGAAUAGUUUAAAAUUAGGAGAUCCAGUUCUUACCCUCAUUAUAAAAAAAAACUUUUUAACUGCUGGAUAUCUAUAAACAAUUAAUGUCUGAUGAUGUCUUUCAUUAAGUCUUUUAGGCAUGAAUGAGGUCCAACCAUCAUGACUGAUUUUUUAUUUUUAUUCUUUUUUUCAGAAUUACAUUGCGGUCCACUGUUUUAUAUUAUAAUCGUAGGACAGAUUUGUCUGUAUGUGCUGACUGUUGGAUUCUGUAUCCACAAAAAUAAAAGGUUGUCUAGAAGACUUAAGGGAGGGAGGGACGGGGACACAUAUGCCAGUCUGCAGCUUUCCAACAUCAGCCCUGAAUAUGACGUGCUGCAGGUAAAAAACAAGCAUCAGAAACACACAGGGACUACACAAGAAGAGAACGAUGAUUACCAGAACCCUGAAGAUGGAAACAGACCAGAUUCAGGGGCUAAUUAAAAAUGUGAGCAUGUUGUGUUUCUUUUAAAGCUGAUUU